UGUGUGUGUGUGUGUGUGUGUGUGUGUGUGUGUGUGUGUGUGUGUGUGUGUGUGUGUGUGUGUGUCUCUGGGUGUUUCAAAAGUGCCUCACAGUUAUCACGUCCUUGAACGAAUGGUGGAGAACGAGGAGCAGUAAGGAAGCCUAAAUGAAAAGGACAGAAGUCAGGAGACUAGAGGAGGAGUAGGGAAGCCUAAAUGAAAAGGACAGAAGUCAGGAGACUAGAGGAGGAGUAGGGAAGCCUAAAUGAAAAGGACAGCAGUCAGGAGACUAGAGGAGGAGUAGGGAAGCCUAAAUGAAAAGGACAGAAGUCAGGAGACUAGAGGAGGAGUAGGGAAGCCUAAAUGAAAAGGACAGCAGUCAGGAGACUAGAGGAGGAGUAGGGAAGCCUAAAUGAAAAGGACAGAAGUCAGGAGACUAGAUGAGGAAGAAGAACUGUAUGUUUGUAUUCCAUGUGUUGUUUCUGUCUUCCCUUCCCUUCGUUCUUCAAGUGCGUCGUUUUCGGCGCUGUGGCCACCAGGCAGAUGCAUUCUGGGAUAAUAAAUAACCUCUGCCCCAGCGGAGUUAGAGGUUAGAGGUCGUGCUGUUGAGGUUCUUCCUAUUUCUCCUCGCGCUGCGUUGCCCUUCAGAGCCGGGCCACCUACUGUAAGACUGCUGGAUUCUGCUGGCGACCAACACAGGGAACCUUUGGAAGAGGGAACUGCCAGCAAGGGGGACGUGUUUAAGGGACGGACCCUCACCCAGGAUUUCUAUAUUGACAAUUAAACAUAGACACUGGACUGUACGGAGGAGCCAACGACAGGGAGAGACACUGACCACCAGGAUGUGUCUAUCUGUAAGGAGGAGCCAAUGACAGGGAGCGACACUGACAUCCAGGAUGUGUCUAUCUGUAAGGAGGAGCCAAUGACAGGGAGCGACACUGACAUCCAAGAUGUUUCUAUCUGUAAGGAGGAGCCAAUGACAGGGAGCGACACUGACAUCCAGGAUGUGUCUAUCUGUAAGGAGGAGCCAAUGACAGGGAGCGAUACAGAGAGACGCUGACAUCCAGGAUGUGUUUAUCUGUAUCAUGCUCAGCUGUCGUGCCGUCCACCAACACCCUACGCCCUCCUCCUCUCCUCCAUCCCUCUUUCCUCCCUCCACCACUCGCUCACCUCCCUCUCUGUCAUAAUGCCGUCACUUCCUCAUCACAUGCAGCCACUUCCUGUUCCAAACAGGAAACAGGAAGUGUUGACUAACGUCUGGUCCUAAACAGGGACAGCGCCACCUAGCUGCCAUGGUUACCUCAACCUCCCAUCCUCCGUUCGCUCUCUCUCUCUCUCAGUUCAGUUAUUAAAUCUGCAUUGUUUUGGUUGUAGUCGUUUAUCGGUUAUAGUUUUAAACUCCUCAGUGGUCCGUUCAUCCCGCUAUCCUCGCUGUAUGAUGUGUUGGGGGAUGAGUGUAGGAAAGGAGGGGAAGAACCUGGGCAGGGCUGAGGUCGGUUAAGAUAUUGCACCGGUGUACUGUAGCAUUCCACAGGACGGUUCCAGAUUCCACAUGGAGCAAACACAGUAUUUUGAUAUAAAAUAUUCAGACAAACAUAUUAUAUGAUCACUUUAUUGAGGUUUGACUGUUUGUUCGUCUUUUCCAACAUAAGUUGUUUUUCUGGUUUGAUUUGACCUUUCCUAAAGCCACGUGGGAGAGAGAUGAUUGUUCACCUAGUAUGGAUAACAGAACACCGAGGAUGAGUAGUUGACUAUUGGUGAUGAAGAGGGGUUUGUGUGACUAUCAAAGGCAUAAAUAGUUGGGGGUUGGUUCAUGUUGAGUUAAAGACGUUGUUUUGUUGGGCCGCGUCUCACUUUGGUAAGGCAGUAGUAGAAUGUUGUACCCAUCAGGUUUAAACAAGUCUGUAAUACAUUUAAAUACUUCAGUAAUACCCUAAAUCAUGAUUUAGUCAAUCAUGCACAGAAUCAGAAGACUGACUGGUGGAAGGAUAGACCACUUUUUUGGCAAAGUCGUUGGUCCUGAUUGCGUUUAUAUGUGACAUAACCAUUCACAAAAAACAACAAAAGUAAUUUUUUUGUGAUAUUAGUAGUGGCACUACUGUUAAAUGUAGUAAUUUAAGAAGAACAGCACUAUUUAUGGUCAUUAAAAUGAACUAGAAUGUGUAUUGUGCAUUAUGGUAGCUUUGGAGGCAGCCAUCUUGUUUUGUAUCAAUUUCCUCAUGCUCAGAGACAGUCACUCACUUCAUGUGAGGGGUUCGACAUUUCCUCAUGCUCAGAGACAGUCACUCACUUCACGUCAGGGGUUCGACUAGUUUUUGGGGAGUUGUUGAGUGAACUUGCCCAAAUCCGAACCCCCCUUUUCUCCUUUGAAUGACAAGUCUGCAUGGUCUCACCAACAGACAUUUCCGUCCAUUCCCUCUAUUCUUACUUUUUAUUUUCUAUAAAGAAAAACAAUUCUAUUACUUUAUUUUUCAUUUCUCGUUUCAUUCUUUCAUUUAAACCAAUUUUUAAAGACAAUAAAUACAAAUCUGAAUAUUCAAUCACUUUUUCUACUUCUAUUUUCAAAAUAACUGAAAAAAACGAAAUAAAAAGUUGAUUUGUAUAUAAGUGAUGUACAGUUUGUAUCUGUUAAUGUCAGUCUGUCUUUGGUGACAGAGUCUGUCUUGCUUAUAACGCACGCUACCAGUAAAUAAAACAUGAAAAAUAUAUUUAGACUGUACGGUCCUUGAAAGCAAGUUUUAAAUUAAUCUGAUGUAUAUUCCUGUAACAUUGCAUUUUUAUCUGAGGAAUUAUGUUAUUAAAAAAUUGCUAAUAAAUUGCAUUUCCUACA